rnacentral:rRNA from 1 species
GCCAAGCGAACCCGGAGAUAGCUCGUUCUCCCCGAAAUGCAUUUAGGUGCAGCCUCGCGUGUUCUCCGUCGGAGGUAGAGCUCUGAAUGGGCUAGGGGGCUCACCGCUUACCAAACCCAAUCAAACUGCGAAUGCCGUCGGACAAAGCGCGGGAGUGAGACAGUGGGGGCUAAGCUUCAUUGUCGAAAGGGAAACAGCCCAGACCACCAGCUAAGGUCCCUAAGUCCAUGCUCAGUGUGAAAGGAUGUCGGAUCGCAAAAACAGCCAGGAGGUUGGCUUAGAAGCAGCCACCCUUUAAAGAGUGCGUAAUAGCUCACUGGUCGAGUGGUCCUGCGCCGACAAUGUAACGGGGCUAAGCAUGGCACCGAAGCUGUGGGCCUGCUCUGCAGGCGGUAGGGGAGCGUUUGCUCCAGCUGUGAAGCGGAAACCGGGAGGUGCCGUGGAGCGGAGCGAAGUGAGAAUGCAGG